rnacentral:rRNA from 1 species
UACAGAGGUCUCAAGCGUUGUUCGGAUUCAUUGGGCGUAAAGGGUGCGUAGGCGGCGCGGUAAGUCGGGUGUGAAAUCUCGGGGCUUAACUCCGAAACUGCAUUCGAUACUGCCGUGCUUGAGGACUGGAGAGGAGACUGGAAUUUACGGUGUAGCGGUGAAAUGCGCAGAUAUCAGGAGGAACACCGGUGGCGAAGGCGGUUCUCUGGGCAUGUUCUGACGCUGAGGCGCGAAAGCGUGGGGAUCAAACAGG